UACGUAGGGAGCAAGCGUUGUCCGGAAUCAUUGGGCGUAAAGAGCGUGUAGGCGGCCUUACAGGUCAGCUGUGAAAACUCGAGGCUCAACCUCGAGACGUCGGUUGAAACCGUAUGGCUAGAGUCCGGAAGAGGAGAGUGGAAUUCCCGGUGUAGCGGUGAAAUGCGCAGAUAUCGGGAAGAACACCCGUGGCGAAGGCGGCUCUCUGGGACGGUACUGACGCUGAGACGCGAAAGCGUGGGGAGCGAACAGG
rnacentral:rRNA from 1 species